GGUUAAGCGACUAAGCGUACACGGUGGAUGCCCUGGCAGUCAGAGGCGAUGAAGGACGUGCUAAUCUGCGAUAAGCGUCGGUGAGGUGAUAUGAACCGUUAUAACCGGCGAUUUCCGAAUGGGGAAACCCAGUGUGUUUCGACACACUAUCAUUAACUGAAUCCAUAGGUUAAUGAGGCGAACCGGGGGAACUGAAACAUCUAAGUACCCCGAGGAAAAGAAAUCAACCGAGAUUCCCCCAGUAGCGGCGAGCGAACGGGGAGGAGCCCAGAGCCUGAAUCAGUGUGUGUGUUAGUGGAAGCGUCUGGAAAGGCGUGCGAUACAGGGUGACAGCCCCGUACACAAAAAUGCACAUAUUGUGAGCUCGAUGAGUAGGGCGGGACACGUGGUAUCCUGUCUGAAUAUGGGGGGACCAUCCUCCAAGGCUAAAUACUCCUGACUGACCGAUAGUGAACCAGUACCGUGAGGGAAAGGCGAAAAGAACCCCCGGCGAGGGGAGUGAAAAAGAACCUGAAACCGUGUACGUACAAGCAGUGGGAGCCUCUUAAUGGGGUGACUGCGUACCUUUUGUAUAAUGGGUCAGCGACUUAUAUUCUGUAGCAAGGUUAACCGAAUAGGGGAGCCGAAGGGAAACCGAGUCUUAACUGGGCGUUAAGUUGCAGGGUAUAGACCCGAAACCCGGUGAUCUAGCCAUGGGCAGGUUGAAGGUUGGGUAACACUAACUGGAGGACCGAACCGACUAAUGUUGAAAAAUUAGCGGAUGACUUGUGGCUGGGGGUGAAAGGCCAAUCAAACCGGGAGAUAGCUGGUUCUCCCCGAAAGCUAUUUAGGUAGCGCCUCGUGAAUUCAUCUCCGGGGGUAGAGCACUGUUUCGGCAAGGGGGUCAUCCCGACUUACCAACCCGAUGCAAACUGCGAAUACCGGAGAAUGUUAUCACGGGAGACACACGGCGGGUGCUAACGUCCGUCGUGAAGAGGGAAACAACCCAGACCGCCAGCUAAGGUCCCAAAGUCAUGGUUAAGUGGGAAACGAUGUGGGAAGGCCCAGACAGCCAGGAUGUUGGCUUAGAAGCAGCCAUCAUUUAAAGAAAGCGUAAUAGCUCACUGGUCGAGUCGGCCUGCGCGGAAGAUGUAACGGGGCUAAACCAUGCACCGAAGCUGCGGCAGCGACACUAUGUGUUGUUGGGUAGGGGAGCGUUCUGUAAGCCUGUGAAGGUGGCCUGUGAGGGUUGCUGGAGGUAUCAGAAGUGCGAAUGCUGACAUAAGUAACGAUAAAGCGGGUGAAAAGCCCGCUCGCCGGAAGACCAAGGGUUCCUGUCCAACGUUAAUCGGGGCAGGGUGAGUCGACCCCUAAGGCGAGGCCGAAAGGCGUAGUCGAUGGGAAACAGGUUAAUAUUCCUGUACUUGGUGUUACUGCGAAGGGGGGACGGAGAAGGCUAUGUUGGCCGGGCGACGGUUGUCCCGGUUUAAGCGUGUAGGCUGGUUUUCCAGGCAAAUCCGGAAAACCAAGGCUGAGGCGUGAUGACGAGGCACUACGGUGCUGAAGCGACAAAUGCCCUGCUUCCAGGAAAAGCCUCUAAGCAUCAGGUAACAUCAAAUCGUACCCCAAACCGACACAGGUGGUCAGGUAGAGAAUACCAAGGCGCUUGAGAGAACUCGGGUGAAGGAACUAGGCAAAAUGGUGCCGUAACUUCGGGAGAAGGCACGCUGAUAUGUAGGUGAAGCGACUUGCUCGUGGAGCUGAAAUCAGUCGAAGAUACCAGCUGGCUGCAACUGUUUAUUAAAAACACAGCACUGUGCAAACACGAAAGUGGACGUAUACGGUGUGACGCCUGCCCGGUGCCGGAAGGUUAAUUGAUGGGGUUAGCGGCAACGCGAAGCUCUUGAUCGAAGCCCCGGUAAACGGCGGCCGUAACUAUAACGGUCCUAAGGUAGCGAAAUUCCUUGUCGGGUAAGUUCCGACCUGCACGAAUGGCGUAAUGAUGGCCAGGCUGUCUCCACCCGAGACUCAGUGAAAUUGAACUCGCUGUGAAGAUGCAGUGUACCCGCGGCAAGACGGAAAGACCCCGUGAACCUUUACUAUAGCUUGACACUGAACAUUGAGCCUUGAUGUGUAGGAUAGGUGGGAGGCUUUGAAGUGUGGACGCCAGUCUGCAUGGAGCCGACCUUGAAAUACCACCCUUUAAUGUUUGAUGUUCUAACGUUGGCCCGUAAUCCGGGUUGCGGACAGUGUCUGGUGGGUAGUUUGACUGGGGCGGUCUCCUCCUAAAGAGUAACGGAGGAGCACGAAGGUUGGCUAAUCCUGGUCGGACAUCAGGAGGUUAGUGCAAUGGCAUAAGCCAGCUUGACUGCGAGCGUGACGGCGCGAGCAGGUGCGAAAGCAGGUCAUAGUGAUCCGGUGGUUCUGAAUGGAAGGGCCAUCGCUCAACGGAUAAAAGGUACUCCGGGGAUAACAGGCUGAUACCGCCCAAGAGUUCAUAUCGACGGCGGUGUUUGGCACCUCGAUGUCGGCUCAUCACAUCCUGGGGCUGAAGUAGGUCCCAAGGGUAUGGCUGUUCGCCAUUUAAAGUGGUACGCGAGCUGGGUUUAGAACGUCGUGAGACAGUUCGGUCCCUAUCUGCCGUGGGCGCUGGAGAACUGAGGGGGGCUGCUCCUAGUACGAGAGGACCGGAGUGGACGCAUCACUGGUGUUCGGGUUGUCAUGCCAAUGGCACUGCCCGGUAGCUAAAUGCGGAAGAGAUAAGUGCUGAAAGCAUCUAAGCACGAAACUUGCCCCGAGAUGAGUUCUCCCUGACUCCUUGAGAGUCCUGAAGGAACGUUGAAGACGACGACGUUGAUAGGCCGGGUGUGUAAGCGCAGCGAUGCGUUGAGCUAACCGGUACUAAUGAACCGUGAGGCUUAACCUU
rnacentral:rRNA from 1 species